UCAUGGGGAGGCAGUAGCCAGUGCGGAUCUUUCACAGAUAUGACGCAGGUGAGUCCCAUGUACUUUACGCACUUGACACCUGAAUGCAUCCCAGAGAUCGCUGGCGCGAUCGCCUCAGCCACCUUGCAGAUCUUCAACAUCAAACUUGCAGAAAUAAAAGGUGGACUCCAAUGGCCAUUGUCUCUCUAUGGCGUGGUUGCUGUGCGAGGCUCCGUGGAUCACAAUCGUAACCUUCUCUUCUCCUGUGGAUCGAGUUUUGUGCUUGACUGGCCCAUCUCGUGCAAUCGUCAUUACGGAACCUGUUGAACUUGAAAUCCAACUAAUAGUGAAAGGUAGAACAAUGUCUCAAGAUAGAGCACUGAUCAGGCGUAUGUACUGUUGCAGAGGAGGACCUGAGUCUGGUGUAUUUACCAUUUCCCUUGAGAACUGCUUCUGCAAAACAGAGUUAUGCAUGGAGCAAGUUGAAGAAACUGUCCAGGCCACUAUUGUGGGUAUCCAUGUCAAAAAUGGGUCAUGGCCUUUUGAAUAUGGUGGUCAAGUGGCUUGCUCCUCACCUUCACGGACACCCAUGUUCGUUGGUGAUGAAGUCACUUAUAUUACUGAUGAUUCCCCAUCUGUGAAAGUUGUGUUGCUUGCAUCUCGCGGUGGAACAUUGCCCAAGAAUUCAGCCGGUUACCUUUGUCUGUCAAGGCAUGUCGUUUCUGUAGAAAUUAAAGGAAGCCUGAAAUUUUUCAUAGAAGCUUACACACAAUCCGGUGAUACCGCCGCAUGUGGUGAGGUUUGCUUCACGCCCAAAGCUCACGGUAUAAGCCGGUGUACAUGUUUCCUUGGUUAGAGAGGGGUGGAGGUGGAGAUCACUGUUGCUUGGUCUCUUCUUGUUUCAAGUAAGCAGUAUAUUGCGGCACAGGGAAGUGUCUUUGAA